UACUUUUGUCAAGUUCUUGAUGACCAUGAUGAGAGGUUUUUUCAAGUUCUUUUAAUAUCCCGUACUUUCAAUCGUAAACCCAAAAUCUAUUUUUAAUGGUUUGAGAGGCAUUGAUAGUGUUGACAGAAGAUAGAGAGCACGGAUGAUGAGAUACAAUAUGGAACAGUUUCUUUGCAUCUUACUCCUUUGUGCUCUCUAGCCUUCUGUCAUCACUUUCUAUUUGCUUAAUCUUUUUCUUUCUUUUCGUUUUUUUUAUUUAACACUCUUCUAUAACACACUUUUUAAGUCUACGAAUAAUUUUUUUUCAAAUGAAUGUAAAUUUAUUCAAUCAAAACACGUGGUACAUCAAGUGCAUCUAUUGUUUGUUUGAUUAAAGAAUCAAAUAAUUGAACUUAAUAAACAAUGAAAAAAAUGUGCUUGAGCUUCAUGUUGUAGGAGAAUCUUGUGACCUUGUCCCAAACCAAGUGCGUAAGCCUUCAUCAAGAUGCUUUAUACCCCUUCCCUUGGAUUGAUAACAUUAUGACGCGGACCGUUUUGUCUACAAACUUAGUCAGGCUAUUCGCAUCAGACGGUUGCUCACCAUGUCGACGCGAGUUACGCUUCCUCCAUAUACUGUGAACAGUGCUUGAAAGGUAUAGCGUAGAAGAAAUACCUCUGUAGGAUUGUGUCUCGUAGUGGUGUGAUAAUGUCAAUCAUAUCACUACACGUUGGUGAUAAUCCACUAAUAAUUACAUUAUUGACUGAAGCAAUUAUGAACUUGUAAAGGCCAAAACACCAGUUUGGUUUCUCUAAUACCAAUAAUCAAUAUUCCUGUAUUUUCCCAGUUGGUCAUGAGAUAUAUUAGGUAUUAUAGGCUCUUUUUUGGCCAAAGUUAUAGCUUAUAUAUUGCAUUUUUCAUUAUUAACUUAAUUAGAGCUUCAUUGGAUAGUAUGUUUAUUUUUCGAAAGGCACAUAAAUAAACUCUAGUAUGCUAGAUCUACAAGAAUACAAGACACAAGACACUAGUCACCAAUAGGCUAGUACUGCAGUCCUUAAAUCUAUUCUGUCAAACAUAAUAUACAAAUAACAUUUAGUUAGUAUAUAAUUUACAAAAAUAUCAUUAAAAAUUAAAAUUAUAUUUAAAAUUUUCAUUAAUGGUAUUUUUAAUUAUUAUUUAAACAUUAUAUCAUUUUACAAAAAUGUACCAUCACACAUAACAUCAUUUUACCAUCUAAACAGUAUUGUUUAUAUUUGACAUUUUCUAUUUAAUAUAGUAAAAUCUUAUAAUUUUGUAUUUUAUAUUUUAAAUAAUUAAUUAAAUUCAUAGAAAAUAUUAAAAUAAUAUAAACAAAUAUUAUAUAAAAGUAUUUUUAAUUAUUCUUUCACGUUAUAAUAUAUACAAGAAAUAACGUAUUACUCAGAAUAGAACUUUAUGGUUUGAGUUAAAAUUUUCUCAUCAUAUAACGAAUAUACCUGAAGUGCAAGAUAAAAUUUUCUAUUUCUAUAUUAACACAUUAUUUUCAUAUAAAUUAUAAACCUUGGAAUAAGAAAAUAAAUUCCACACCUAGGGCGUUUAACCUUCAGUUCAGUUGGUGACAAUUUAAUCAAACAGAAAAAUGAACAAAACAUUCAGAUGAAAAAUUAAUAAAUAUAAAUAUAUGAAAUCUUGUUUAAUCCGAUGAAUUUUUUCUUCGUAACUUUUUCAUUCAUAAAAGUAACUAGAGGAACAUGGUGGACCCACUGACAUAAAAUUUAAGGAAUAAGAAUUUUACCAUCAUAUUUUUUCUAAGAAUUAGUUAAUGUUUGAUUGCAAGGUGAAUCAUGGAAUUAUAAUGUUGUCAUAGGGUCUAGACACUAGUGUUUUCCUAUCUAACACAUAUUCAUGAUGGAUAGUAAUAGGUUUGCAUUUUAUUUAAAUUAAAUAUUUAAUUUAUAAAUUUAUCGAAUAUCGAGUACCGAGUUUGCUUUCGUAUUACCAUUAUACUAGGUGUUUUACCUGCACAUACGAGCUUAAUUCUUUUACAAAUAUUUAUUAGUUUAUUUUUUAUUAAUUCAAAAACCAGCAUAAUAACUUAUUAUUUAUGUUUUCAAAAUAGUAAAUCAAACAUCAACUUAUAUAUAUAUAUAUAUAUAUAUAUUACAAAAAAAUUAAUUAAAAUAUAUAUGUUUAUUAUUGUGUAGAAAUUUUAAAAAGAAAACAUUCACAUUUAGAAAUAUUUUAAAAAAUAUCUUUAUACAAAUAUAGUUGAUUAAUAUUUAAUUAUGAAUUUUUUAUAUGUUAUUUUCCUAACUUUUAUAAUUGAAAUUUUUUUUUAAGAUAACAACACAAUAUAUAAGAAUUAUCUUAUUUAAAACAAAUUAUAAUAUUAUAAAUAAAAUUUCGUUUUUAAUUAUGUAAUUAAUUAUAUAUAAAAUUCGUUAAGGGUAUAACACUUAAUUUAUUAUAAAUUGUAAAAAUUUAAGAUAACAACAUAAUAUAUAAGAAUUAUCUUAUUUUUUAAAAAAAUCUAAUAUUAUAAAUAAAAUUUUGUUUUUAAUUAUGUAAUUAAUUAUAUAUAAUCUCCUCAACAGUUUGAAAUACUUGGAGACUCUAGAUUUUUAUGACUAAAAAAUUUUAAAUCUGUAAAUCCGUGGACUUUUUUUUCUAAACGAGGUGUAUAUCAUGUAACUGAACUCUUUUUUGAAAAGUAGACAUUUUCAAAUCAAACUUAAAUGUGUAAUUUUCAAUGAUUCUACUAGAAAAUUUAGGAGUUUAACCUAUAAGCAAAAAAGAAAGAAAAAGACAAUAAAAUUGUUCAGGCAAUUGAACUAACAACAAUCCAUUCUCAUGACACAAUAUAUAGAUUUUUUUUAUGUAAAUCCAAUUAGCUUAGUAUGAAGUAUGGACACUAUGAGAAUGAGUCAAAUGGUCAUAUAAACUCGUAUUUGAACAGUUAUAUCAACAAUUAUCUCCCAAAAAAAUAAGAAAAGCAAAAAUGGGAUUUGAAUGUGUUUUGCUUUCAUGAUCUCUCAAAGAGACCUUUAACAUAAACCAUGCCUUUCUCACUAAACUGAAGCUCCUUCCUCAUUUCUUCAACCUGUACAUCAUUUCCUUGAACCACAACCUCAUUCAAUUUACCAUUUUCUCCCACCAUCAUCUUCACCUUUAUCUCCUCUUUCCUCGACGCCUUCUUCCAGUAAUACGCUCCUCUGCAACACAUCCAUCCAUCCAUCAUCACCAAUCAUUCACAAACAGUUUCAGAGACACAAAGAGAGAGUAAGCUUACGCAAGCGGACUAAGAAUGGUAAUGAAGAACCAAUUAUUUCCAAAAUCAGGCACAGUAAUGGUUAGUACAAGACCCACACUUGCUAAGCUUAUACAUGUACAGAACGUGAGCAGAGCAGCUUGUCCUCUACUCGGAACCAUUGUUCCUUCAAACCUUUUUUUUCACAAUCAAACAAACAAACAAUGUCAGUAACUGAAACAAAAAUUAAAAAAGUUCGAAGCUUUCUUCUGAAUUAGCAGCUUACGUGAUCGUUUCUCCACGAUCAGUGAUGUUGAAGUUCUUCCUAGUGAAGAAAGAGAGAAUCUCUCCAGCAACUUGCUUUGGCUCCUUCUUGACUCCUUCUCCUUCUCCAACAACGAACGUCUUCCUCACUAUCUGAAAAAGAUCCAAACAUUGGAUUCGUUGAUGGUGAAGUGAGAGAGAGUGACCAAAGUUCGAACCUUUGAUUUAACGGAGCGUUUGAUGAGAGACCAAAGACCCGGAACUGAAAUAACGAACAAACCCAACGACGUGUAGUAGCUAGCCAACGAGUAACCACCACCAGUCUCCGCCAUUAACAGCAACGAACUAGUGUUCUGUUCCCACCAUUGAUGAAUCUGAACCGCCGAUGAAGAAACAGCAGUUAGAGGCUCCACAACCAUGGCUGUAACUCUGUUUCGUUUCGUGACAAAGUCCCGUCUCCGCCCUUUGAUUACAACAUCUCUUGAAGUCACCCAUGGACAAGACAGCGAUGGAGAAAACAGCUUCGUCGCCAUUGUCGAGAGAGAGAGAGUCUAUGGCUUUCAAAUGGCUUUUUACAAGAUCGUGUGUGUGUAAACAAGUCUAUCCAAAAUCGAGUGGUUCUCAUUUUUUUCUCAAUUUUAAUUUAAUUUGAAUAUAUGAUGACGUAGGUCGUUGCAAUAACAGAACCUCUGUUUCUCUGUAAGAGGUCAUCAAAGAUCUGGAAGGUAGAUCAAAUGAGACCCACCAACCAUCAUUUAACGAGUUCACUCACUCAUCAACAGAGAGACAAGAGUCUUUAUCAUUGAGAUCUUUCUCCCCGACACAAAAUCUGACCCAAACAUGAUUUUGAUUUCUUUUUGAAACCUGUUUAAAUGACUACUGUUUAUAGAGUUCUGCGUGUCCACAAAGGUUUUUUUUUAAUUUUAUUUUAGCAAAAAAACUAGGGACAUUAAUUAAUUACUAGAACAAGAAAACAGAGUAUUGAGUCAUUGAGAAAGCAAGAAUCUUAUUAGAGACAAAAGAUAAAACAGAGUUGCUUCACAACAUCUCACAACCAGUUUUGUAAUUGGAAUCUUUUUGAUCAAAGUUUUUUUUGCUGGACCAUCCUCUCUACUUUGGUAAUAAAGGCUAUAAAUCAUAGGUGGGUUGAAAAGCUAAGGUCAAAUCGUUUUCCCAAAGUUGCUACUUUAUAGGAAAAAAAAAAAAGUAACUCUGAAUCUUUUUGGGUCCAAACAUAAUAAGUAGUAGGAUUCUUGAAACAGAGGAGUACAUCAUCUUUCUUUCUAACAGGGAGUUUACAUUUUCUGACACUGUAAAUUUGUUGGUCCAAACUUUAUUAUAUCUACUGUAACAGCUAGUGAUUUUCUGCUAGUCCUAACAGAUGGAUUUGCUAACACAACAACAACAACAGAGAGAAAUCACACAACAUUCCACACUCAUUGCUUCCUUUUUAUAUCAUCAAUAAAUAAUGUUUUUUACAAAGUUAUAUUUUCUGCACUCAUUUUUUAAAAAAAUUGCUGAAAAUAACCUCCAAAGGAAGUAGAAAAAAAGGAGGAAAAAAACAAACAAACAAAUAAUAAUAGCUCAGCUGUUCUUUAUACACUUAACAUAAACAGCUGAUCAGUCUUCUCCUUCAUCCUCCUCUUAAAUAUAUAUAUAUAUAUAUAUGUAUAUAUAAAUGUAUAAUUUUCCAAAGAAGCAAAUUUAUCUUACAAAAUAAAAAGAUAAAUCCAAAAAGUGUGAACUCGAUCAUUAGCCGGGAAUAAUAUAUAUGUUGUCAACAAUGUAUUAUUUUUUUCGAAAGAGAAUUAAAAAGCCGUAUAUACCAAAGGAACCAAUUAUUUACAAGUGACAACAUUAUUCCAAACUGGUUGAAUUAAACAGAUCAAUGCACCUGGAGCGCAGAAACCAUAUCGCUGCUCAAUAUGCGUCUAUAAAUAGUGGUUUCAAGAAAUCUCCUCAACAGCUCAUCAACGACUCUUUGGGUAAUUCUCUAGACACAUACAUAUAUCGAUAUCAUACAGGUGUCUUAUAUAGAGCCCUGUUAUAAAAUCAAAACUCCUAUACUUUUGUCAAGUUCUUGAUGACCAUGAUGAGAGGUUUUUUCAAGUUCUUUUAAUAUCCCGUACUUUCAAUCGUAAACCCAAAAUCUAUUUUUAAUGGUUUGAGAGGCAUUGAUAGUGUUGACAGAAGAUAGAGAGCACGGAUGAUGAGAUACAAUAUGGAACAGUUUCUUUGCAUCUUACUCCUUUGUGCUCUCUAGCCUUCUGUCAUCACUUUCUAUUUGCUUAAUCUUUUUCUUUCUUUUCGUUUUUUUUAUUUAACACUCUUCUAUAACACACUUUUUAAGUCUACGAAUAAUUUUUUUUCAAAUGAAUGUAAAUUUAUUCAAUCAAAACACGUGGUACAUCAAGUGCAUCUAUUGUUUGUUUGAUUAAAGAAUCAAAUAAUUGAACUUAAUAAACAAUGAAAAAAAUGUGCUUGAGCUUCAUGUUGUAGGAGAAUCUUGUGACCUUGUCCCAAACCAAGUGCGUAAGCCUUCAUCAAGAUGCUUUAUACCCCUUCCCUUGGAUUGAUAACAUUAUGACGCGGACCGUUUUGUCUACAAACUUAGUCAGGCUAUUCGCAUCAGACGGUUGCUCACCAUGUCGACGCGAG
rnacentral:lncRNA from 1 species